AUAGAUUUGUAGGUUUGCAAGAUCCCUCCUUUGUGGGGAAGGACGAUGUUAACAGAUCCCAAUAUCAACAAUACAUCACGUAUGAACAAUUUGUUGUUAUGAAGACAUUUACAGUUUAGUCUCAAUGUCCAGAAAUAUUGGAUUCAAUUAUUAUUUAAAAUAUAAUCCUAGUUUUGUAAAAAGGUUUACAGUCUCUGGUGGUGGACAAUGAACUGGGGAUGUGGCAGGAUGAUAUGUGGCUCAGAGGGAGUUCCCAUCUGCCAGCCAUGCUCACCAAAUAUGGGGAGAAAGGUGAUCCAAGAUGGAGCCGGUCUGCUUCCAUUGAUGUGGGGGGAGCUGGGUGAUGCCCUUGUGCUGUGGGUAGGUAGCAGCUGAGUGGCCUGUGUGGGAAUGAGGUGCAGCCUGGAGUUCUGCAGAGGGGCUGAGAGGUGUUUCUGCUGAGCCGCUCAAGAGCUGCUUGUGGCUAGAGCUGUGGGCUUUGGGCUUAGAGCCCAUAGUCUUACUCGAACGCUGAGGCUCUGAAUUCUGCACUGGGCUUACAGCGUGGUGAUUUCUGUGAAAAUCCACUCUAGAGUGUAUUUUCACGCUCUCUGAAAUCCUGUAUUUUGAUGAGGUCAGACCUAGGCCACGGAACAACACAGGAUGCUGCCUGUGCUGCCCACCAUCUUGAAUGUCCCCCCUUCUGGUCUUGACACAAUAUGGUACCCUUUCAACUGUCAAGGCCUCUUUAAACAGCAGGGAAGAACUCAAACUGGAGAAAAGCCUUGUAUGUAGAAAUGUGGUAAGACAUUCGGUUGUUUCAGAUCUAGUUGGACUUGUUCAGAUUUGAGGGAAUAUUAAGUAUUAUUAUUAUUAUUAUUAUUAUUAUUAUUAUUAUUAUUAUUUCAACCCAGAGGUGCUGAACCACUGAGACACAUCCCAUUGUUUUUUUAAUUUUUAUUUUUUUCCAAUUUUGAGACAUGGUCUCACUUGGUUGCUUAGGUCCUAAGUGGCUGAGGCUGGCUUUGAACUUAUGAUCCUGCUGCGUCCGCCUGAUGUAGUCUUCACUGCCUUCAGCAACCAUGCUCUUUUGAGAAAACAAGUGUGGGAGUGUGAAAAGUGUAUGUGCCUUCAUUCUGGCAAUUCACAGGUGACAAAAAUGCACCCUAGAGUGGAUGUAAGGAUGGCAUCAAGGUGAAGAUGUGAAAACAAGGUUAAAUCUCUGUUAUUGUUAGAUUCAACUUUUUUGAAUUUUAAGUUCUUUGCAUCUGUAGUCAUAUCUCACAUAUUAUGACAUAAUCUUAUAUACUGUGCAUUUUUGUGUGUGCAAAAAUAUUAGUUGCAUUGACUUUUAGUCGCAGCAUUUAAAUACUUGUUUAGAGUUUUUAUCUCUCUCCUUCCAUUAAGUACAUUUUCUCUUCUAUUGUCCAUUUUUUUUUUUUUUUUAGUAAAGGCUUUAUCAAAUUUAAAACUCGGGUCUCAUAAUAUGAAAACUUUUUCUAUAUGGAAUUCUGAUAUUUUCUGUGUCCUCAAAUAUUGUAUGACUUUUACAUAUGUUGUGAUAAAAUAAAAAUUGAGAGAGGUUUUAGAGAAAUAAUUACCAGGGUCAGAGAAUGGAGAAAAGAAAAGGAACAUUACCAUCAUUAUAUCUGGAGUCUUUAAGCACUGAGCACCAUCCCUAGUCCUUUUUAGUUUUUUGUUUGUUUGUUUCAUAGAGGAUCUUGCUAAGUUCUUCUUAAGGGCCUCCAUUUCUUGCUGAGGCUGGGUUGAAACUUGUGAUCCUCCUGCUGUGGCCACUGAUCGCAGACAUAUGCUACCGUGCUCAGCUCCUGGGUGUUUCCUGAAUCCCUGAUGUAAAUCAAAAUGUGCCUUGUUUGUGUCAAGUUUCCAGGUGUCACCAAUUCAGAUGCCAGAAUUACUUCUUCAUGUCCUUCUGUAUGUUAACAUCCUUCAAUCUCUAAGAUUCCAAAAUGAUGCUGAUCAUCAUAAGAACAUUAUCUCACACCUUCCAAAUUAUUAUUAGUUCAGUUGUACUAAACUGGAGUUGACUUGGAAAAUGUAUAUUAGAUAAUUUAUGUUGAAAACAGGGGUGGAAGAACUAUUUCAAUAUUUAAGGAAACCCAUUAUUCAUUUCUAUUAAGAGCUCAUGAUAUAAUGAACUUCAGUUACUAUUCCCUUUCAUGCACCAGGCACCAGAAAAGCACUUUAGCAGGGGCACAGAGGCUAUCAGAAAUGCCCUGGUGCUCAUGUAAGGGUUUUCAGAGCAGCAAGUCACAUUAAAAAACACCUGGGAGGUGUGAGUUGUGCCACCCAUACAUGCACACUCACACGCACAUGCACACACAUGUACAGGAUCAAGUCACCCUUUUCUCUACAUACCCUCCCUAGCGCAGUGCUUUCAUCCUCACUGUGUCAUGCAACUAUUGAUUUCUUUGACUUUUCUCACAAUGUUGCUGCCCACUAUUCCUUCUCAAAAAUCAAUUGUUAUUUCCUGACUUCCCAAUUUAAUUCAGAAGUUUCAGACACAUUGUGUGUGUUAGUUGAGGCCUCUCCACUCCAGCCUUGUGUACAGAUUAGUGAAAUAUCUCUUCCUUCCUCCUUUUCUCCCUUUGUUAUUUCAGACAUUACCCAGGAGGGCUGCACCACUGAGCUUCACCCUAACCAUGUUAAUUGUUGUUUUUUAAGAGAGUGAGGCUGGCCUUGAACUUGUAGUCACCCUGCCUCAGCCUCCUACAGCUGGGACCAUAGGCAUGUGCCCUUGUGUGGCCUGCAGCUGAUCUCUUCCUUUUCCUUGAUGCCUUCUUGGCCUGCUGAUGACUCUGGGACCACCACUGUGUCACACAUUCUUUUCUAAGUCUCAUGUGUUGUGUUGUACAUAGGCAAGUUAAAGAGCAUUAUAAAAUCUUGUAGUUUGUAUGUAUUAUUUGGAGAGGCACCUUCUCAAAAUAUACUUUGCCCUAUUAUUAAUGCAGUUUAUUUCUUUUCUUUUCCUGGUGCCAGGGACCCAAUCCUGCCUUGUGCAUGCUAGGCAGGUGCUCUAGCACUGAGCACUCCCCUAGCUCAGGUGGUGAGUUUGCCGCUGCUGUGUGUGUGGACCCACUACUGUUCCCAUCAGCAGAUGCAGCUCUGCAGGUGUAUCCCGUGUUUGCAGCUUGUCCCGUUUUGUCUUAAACUUCUUUUACAGCACUGAAUUUUAAAUCCAACUCAGCUUUUCUCCCCAUGAUUAAUCCUUGGGUGGAGUAAGCCAGAAAACCCAGGCUGGAUUUCUCUCUGUGUUUAGGGUACUGUCAAACAUAGGUGACUGCAUGACCCAUAUGAUUCUGCAACAUGCACACUCAGAAAAAUGAGAGAUGAUAUCCCAUCUAUGUAUGAUAUAUCAAAGUGCGUAAAUGCAUUCCAUAGUCACGUAUAAGUAACUGAAAGAAAUAAAAUAAUUUUAAAACAGAACAAAUCCAGGUGCAAUGACUCAUGCCUUCAUUCCAAUGGCUCAGGAGGCUGAGGCAGGAGGACUGUGAGCUCAAAGCCAGCCUCAGACAUAGUGAGACAGUAAACAACUCAGUGAGCCCCAGUCUCUAAUAAAGUACAAACUAUAGCUGUGGAGGUGGCUCAGUGGUUGAGGGCCCCUGAGUUCAAUUCACAGGACACCCCCCAUUCAAAAAAAAUAGGGAAACGAAAAAAACCUAAGGAAGAAGGGUAUGAUACCAGUGUUGUUGGGCACAGCGUCACACAGCUAUAAUUCCAGUGGCCAAGCAGGCUGAGGGAGAGGGAUCACAAACCUAGACAGCCUCAACUUAGUGAGGCCCUAAGGAACUUAGCAAGAUCUGUGUCACAAUAAAAAAUCAAAAGGUCUGGGGAUGUUGCUCAGUGGUUGUGCACCCCAGGCUCAAUCCCUAGCCCCAAAUAAUAAUGAUAUAAAAAUGGAUUUAGUCUUUCCUCUUCAUUUGCAUUGCUCUCAUCUUCCUAAUGGCUCUAAUUCACAACCUGUCCCUGAUCCUUCUCACCCUCCUGGAUGUCCGCCUCCACACACCUCUCUAUUUCCUGGUGUAUUGGCUGUCCCUCACUGACCUGCGUGACAUCUCCUUAUGUUUGCAUUCAUUGGAAUCCCUUUUUUCUGUGGUCAAGUACUUCUUGCUCUCUGCUUUAUGGCCUUGGGACAGGGAAGAAGAAUGUCUUCUCCCUCU
rnacentral:lncRNA from 1 species